rnacentral:lncRNA from 1 species
UAUCAAUAAACAUUGGAAAGUACGCAUAUGGAAUAACUACAUAAAUAUAUACAAGUUUUCUAUGUAGAAAUAAUAUACUCAUACGUACCUAUAACUUCAAGUAUAAAUAUUUUCAAACCAAAAAUCAAUAAAAAUUGCACCUAUAUUUUUUGUUAUACACAGGUUAAAGGAUUAAAAUAAAAAGAGAUAGUCCCAACAGCACAACAACAAAAUGCAAAAAAUUAUUCAUGUACUCGAAAAAAGAGUAUUUAACUGGUGAUGCUUUUUGGAGAUACUUCCUACUACCAAUUUUUCAUCAACUUUCUUCUUCUUUUUAAUGUAAACUUAUGUGUAUGUCUUUUAUCCGUAUGUUUUAUUCAUCACAUAAAUAUAAAGAACUUAACCUAAGUUUGAAUGAUUUAAUAGCAUUUGAAUAGAGUCUCUAUUUACUUAUGAUUAGAGGAAAAAUAACCCAUUUAUGGAAUUUUUAAAAUCCAAGAAACAUUACAAAUGAGUUUAUUAUACUAUUGUUCUCUGCACCACGUCAAAUCCAGAAAAUACAAUUUCUUCAUUUUAUUACAUAAAAAAACGACCAAUUUAAAUCAAUAUGAGAUGACCAAACACAAAAAGGGAAAAGGAAAAGUAAAUACACCGAGAGUCUUGUGUUAAGUUUAUCCCUUCAUGACUUGCUUCAUUACUAUCAAUCAUUCUCAUUGCGACGCAUCUUUUUAUCUUGUGCUUCAUCUUCAUAAAUAAAUUAAAGAAAAAAGUCAACUUUCACUAUUUUUAAUUAAAACUUAUAGUAAGCAGAACAUGUGAAAAAGAAAGAAAGCAAGAAAACCUUGAAGUUUAGAAAUUGGCAAUAAGAGCUUUGCCUUUAAUUUAUUCAUUUUGUACUUCCUCUGCAUCACACGAAACUAACCAGAGUAGUCAAUUUUCAUUAUUCUAAUUAAAAAUUAAAAAAUUAGUAUAAAGCCGAAUAUAUAUAAGAAAGAAAGCAGACCUUGAAGUUGCAAAAGUUUCAAAGAAACGCCUUCCAUUGAGAGAAGAAAGCAAUACAGUUUCGUUGAAUGUUAGGUGCGUUUAAAUAGGAACAAAGAAUGAUUAGAUAUCAGAACUGAUUGACUUUUGAAAUCUAGUGUUAAUGACCUUGUUAAAUACGGGAAGGGAAAAAGGACGUUUCGAAUAUUUGAAGAGCAGCCUUUGGUGAUGACUCUAUUCCAAAACGCAUGGAUAAAGUUGUAAUCUAAAGAAUAUGUAAGAUCAUAUCUUUUAGAGAAAAAGAAAUUAAUAACUACGGGAAAAAGUGAGAAAAAAUGCCAAAUAAAUGAGAGAAACGAUAAAUAGUAAUCCUAAUGCCAAAUAAAUGAGAGAAAAGAUAAAUAGUAAUCCUAGCUUAAGAGAGAUGUCAUGUCAACUUUCUUUUUCCCGCCUUUAUAUAUACUAUAUAGAUUGUUAGCAAUGCUUAUUGCCCUAUAGUUC